rnacentral:lncRNA from 1 species
GAAAAGCUAUGUCUCUACCAUAUGAAGGUUAUAGUUACUAUGAACAAGAAGACCAAAAUGCCACUUAUGAUCAACAUCGGAGCGAAUUUGAAGGCUAGUGUUAGAGUGACGUAGUAGAAACUUACCACACCUCUUACUCGCAAUUUCAAUAAUGAAGUAGUAAAUGUGCCCAUCUUCUUCCUACCGAAACCUUGAUAGAUCAUCAAGAGAAGGGAUAUCGUCAUGGUUCCAGAGAGGAAAUGG